rnacentral:rRNA from 1 species
CCUACGGGUGGCAGCAGUGAGGAAUAUUGGUCAAUGGACGCGAGCCUGAACCAGCCAAGUAGCGUGAAGGAUGACUGCCCUAUGGGUUGUAAACCUCUUUUGUCUGGGAGUAAAAUGCGCCACGCGUGGCGUUCCGAGAGUACCAUAAGAAUAAGCAUCGGCUAACUCCGUGCCAGCAGCCGCGGUAAUACGGAGGAUGCGAGCGUUAUCCGGAUUUAUGGGGUUUAAGGGGUGCGAAGUGGGAAGAUAAAGUAGGCGGUAAAAUUGUGAGGCUAAACCUCUUAGUGCCGUUGAAACUGGUUGUCUUGAGUGAGUGAGAAGUAUGCGGAAUGCGUGGUGUAGCGGUGAAAUGCAUAGAUAUCACGAAGAACUCCGAUUGCGAAGGCAGUACACCGGAGCUCAACUGACGCUCAUGCACGAAAGUGUGGGUAUCGAACAGGAUUAGAUACCCCUGUAGUC